AGGGUAAAAUUAAUAAAUAAAAUAAAUAUAAAAAAAAUUUUUAAUAUAAAAUAAUUAAUGGGGGUUAAAGUAUUUUAUAGAAAAAAAUUAAAAAAUUUAUAGUUAAAUAGUAUUGUGAAAGAAAUUUGAAAAAUAUUAAAAAAAAAUUAUUUAAAAGUAAUUUUAAUUUAAUGUAUCUUGUGUAUCAGAGUUUAUUAAAAAAUAAUUUUAUGAAAAAUUAUUUCGAAUUUAAAAGAGUUAAUUAAUUAAAAAAGUUAAUAUAAUAUAAUUAUUUUAAAUAAUUAAUUGGAAAUGAUAAGUUAAUCGUUUUUAAAUAUAUCUAAUUUUUUAGGAAAAAAAUUUAAUUUUGAAUUAAAUUAUAAUUAUUAAUUAAUUAAUUAAUUAAUAAAAAUUUUAAUUUAAUAUUUUAGGGGAUAAGCUUUAAAUUAAAGUAUUAUAAUUAUGUUAAAUUUAAAUUGAAAAUUUUAAAAUUUAUAUUUUUUAAAAAUUAUAGUUUUUUAUAAAUAAUUUCAUUUAAUUAAAAUUUAAUAUUAAAUUUAAUUUUUUACAAAAAAAUAAUUUUUAAUAAAAAUAAAUUAGAAAUAAUGAUAAAAUUAGUAUAUAAUUUAAAAAAUUUUAUAAAAAUUAUUUAAAUUAAUAAAAAGGAAUUCGGCAAAUAUUUAUAUUCACUUGUUUAUCAAAAACAUGUCUUUUUGAUAAUAAUUUAAAGUCUAAUCUGCCCACUGAAAUAAAAUUUAAAGGGCUGCAGUAUAUUGACUGUACAAAGGUAGCAUAGUCAUUAGUCUUUUAAUUGAAGACUUGUAUGAAUGAUUUGAUGAAAUAUAAGCUGUCUCUUUAUUAAUAAUAGAAUUUAAUUUUUUAGUUAAAAAGCUAAAAUUUUUAUAAAAGACGAGAAGACCCUAUAGAGUUUAAUUUUUUAAUUUUUGUAGGUAUUUUAUAAAAUUUAAAAUUUAUAAAAAUUAAAAAAUUUUGUUGGGGUGAUAGAAAAAUUUAAUAAACUUUUUUUUUAAAAAUUAACAUUAAUUUAUGAAUUUUUGAUCCAUAAAUUAUGAUUAUAAGAUUAAAUUACCUUAGGGAUAACAGCGUAAUUUUUUUUUUUAGUUCAAAUAAAAAUGAAAGUUUGCGACCUCGAUGUUGGAUUAAGAUAAAAUAUAAAUGCAAAAGUUUAAAAUUUUGAUCUGUUCGAUCAUUAAAAUCUUACAUGAUCUGAGUUCAAACCGGUGUGAGCCAGGUUGGUUUCUAUCUUUAUAAUAAUAAAAUAGUUUAGUACGAAAGGAUCAAUUAUUUUAAAUAAUUUAAUUUUUAGAAUAUUAUAAAAUAUUUUUU
rnacentral:rRNA from 1 species